CGGUCGGCAGUUCACCUAGGCGUCGCCGGUUCGUCUUGAACCACGCUAAACCUGCUU
rfam:Chitinimonas taiwanensis DSM 18899 genome assembly, contig: Ga0002118_scaffold00007.7